rnacentral:rRNA from 1 species
UACGUAGGGCGCAAGCGUUGUCCGGAAUUAUUGGGCGUAAAGAGCUCGUAGGCGGUUUGGUUAGUCGGGUGUGAAAUCUCCAGGCUCAACCUGGAGGGGUCAUUCGAUACUGCCAUGACUAGAGUUCGGUAGGGGUGUGUGGAAUUCCUGGUGGAGCGGUGAAAUGCGCAGAGAUCAGGAGGAACACCCGUAGCGAAGGCGGCACACUGGGCCGAUACUGACGCUGAGGAGCGAAAGCGUGGGGAGCGAACAGG